CGAUGCGCAGAAUUAUGGCGAAAUCGAUGGCGUAAUCGACAAUAUUAGUCGCGUGCUCUAUGUCCUCUAAUUCACAGUGAACGACACCGGUGUCCGGCAAUUUUUAUUUUUGGUGAUUACGCGACAAAACGUAACUCCUCGUGAUCUAUCAUCGAUGACGAUCAUUCGCGAACUCGGGAAACGUUCUUUUUGAGUCGCGAGCUGCCGAACAACUCCUUCGAAUGGACGUGGCGAUGGAGGAAAAUAGCAGCGACCAGUAUUAGUUGGAGCUUGUCCAAUUUCGAUUCUCACAAUUGAGUCAUUUUCCAGAACAGAUCUAAUUAAAAAACUAAAUCUUCAUGACAACAAAUGAUAAACAUUUAUGUUUCUUUUUUCUCUCCUACAUUUCCUCUAAAAUAACCAUAUACAAAAAUAUAUUCCAAGAAUAAUUAUUAUAAUGGUUCUAUUUUGAUGCAUAAACCAAAGAUGAAACAAACAAUCGAUCAAUUUAAAUCUUCACUAAUGUAGCAGUAACUCUCAACAAGGUUGCUGGCAAACGAUACGAUGUCAACCAAACCCUCAAAAAAAAAAAAACGCGCGUAGUAUGCAAACGCAUUAUAUAAUAGACGAGAAUAAACUAAGUAUAUGCCUAAUAAUAUCUUAAUUGUGCGUACGAGAGACUUUUUCACUAAUGUAUCAGCUAAAUCAUCAACAUAAAAUUUUAUGUCUGCAAUAACAAAAAUAAUUGCAACGACAAUCAUCAUUUCUAGUCACCAUUGAUGAUUAUGAUGAUGAUGAUGAUUACGAGUAUGAUGCUGACGAAGACAAAAAUUCAUGAUGAUGAUGAUGAUGAUGACUAUAACGAUAAUGAUGAUGACGAUCAUGAUGAUGAGAAUAGAGCGUGGCGUAUUAUCCGCCGGGCAGGAGUAAUCAUCAUUUAGCUGAGGCCAAUGGGAAACACCAUGAGGCUUGGAACAGUUUCAACGUCGCGGGUACUAACGGGGAUGACUAGCUUGCUCUUCGGUGACCGUAAUGCCUGGAGAGUCGCCCUGGCCGUGGGUGAAACCUUUAGGGAGGCGGCGGAUGGUCGGAUGGGACCUUCGGGCCGCUUUGGACCCACAUCUUCC